GAUGAACGCUGGCGGCGUGCCUAAUACAUGCAAGUCGAGCGAACGGACGAGAAGCUUGCUUCUCUGAUGUUAGCGGCGGACGGGUGAGUAACACGUGGAUAACCUACCUAUAAGACUGGGAUAACUUCGGGAAACCGGAGCUAAUACCGGAUGAUAUUUUGAACCGCAUGGUUCAAAAGUGAAAGACGGUCUUGCUGUCACUUAUAGAUGGAUCCGCGCUGCAUUAGCUAGUUGGUAAGGUAACGGCUUACCAAGGCAACGAUGCAUAGCCGACCUAAGAGGGUGAUCGGCCACACUGGAACUGAGACACGGUCCAGACUCCUACGGGAGGCAGCAGUAGGGAAUCUUCCGCAAUGGGCGAAAGCCUGACGGAGCAACGCCGCGUGAGUGAUGAAGGUCUUCGGAUCGUAAAACUCUGUUAUUAGGGAAGAACAUAUGUGUAAGUAACUGUGCACAUCUUGACGGUACCUAAUCAGAAAGCCACGGCUAACUACGUG
rnacentral:rRNA from 1 species